AUGAAAAAACACAAAGGGGUAGUUAGAAGAAGAGGGGAGAAUGUACAAAGGGAAGGGGAAUAUACAAGAGGGGGCUAUACAGAGAGCUAUACAAGGGAGUCAAGAAUCCCAAAUCUAAUUAUUCCACUUCAUUAUACACUAGAUCUUGCCAAUCUAUUUUUAUUGCAUGAAACUUGUACUAUUAAAGCAGCUGUUCUAAUACAGUUUCUAGCAAUGAGACGACUGUACAAUAUGUCCACUUCUGCCAUCAUAUGCUCAAAGUGGAUAGGUACCAGGGACAGGUAUUUUUUUGUGUUAAAUUAUUAG
rnacentral:rRNA from 1 species